CCCCAUUUCCCCACCUUGACUAGCCUGUCUAUAGCCAUAUCCCUCAUCUCCAAGGUUCUCUUUCUACUUUCCUUUUGCCCACACCCCUCUAAUGUCUCUUACAUGUAAUAGUUUGUCCUUUUGUGGGUUGUCAGCAGCAUUGCCACCCUCCCCAGUAUCAGCCUUGUUAUCAUGGAAUCAUGGAUCAAAUUUAUAAACUCAUUGCAAAUGGUAGAAGCUG
rnacentral:lncRNA from 1 species